UAGGUACAUGUAUAUGUAUAUAUGUCUAUAUACAUACCUAUUCUCUAGGUAAACCUGCUCAGUCUAUAUAUUAUUUCUUGUACGUAUAUUUCCAGGGCUGAAGAUUUGAUAUUGGAUAACCAAUUGUUGCGUCUUCGCUGAUGAAGACUAUGUCUCCCACUCUGUAGCCCUCAGUUGCCUCUAGUUCUUUGUGUAAGGCUGAGGCCUCAGGGUCUUUCCCCGUUUACCUUCCCAUGUCUAUUGGUGUUGUCCCUGUUCAUCUCAGGUUUGGACAGUCACACAGGCCUACUUGAUGCAUGCAGACCCACUGUGUGUUAAACGGUUGAUAAUGGAGUCGACUCUGCCUCGUGAACUUUCAUUCGUAACUUGAUAGGACUCGAUUCUUCCGCCGUGCUCUAGUGAUUCACCCGUGAAAGUGUGAUGCUGAGACUGGGAAAAUGUCUGACAAGAACCUGGAAGUGUCUCUUGUGAAGGAGAUGGCCACAGUGAGUCGUGAGCAAGAGUGAGAUUUGUGCCCUGGACCCGUUUUGAAAGUGAAACCUCAACAGUUGCUGGAUCUGUGAGAUCAUGCCAAGAACAUUCUAACCAGUGAGCAUGGAGCACCUCGACCUUGGGGAGGAACCUGCUUCUGUCUGAGAGUGUGAGAGCCAGGAUGUUUUGGGAACUGGCACGUGUGGGAAGCCACGUCCUACCUCAGCUCUUGAGAACCGCUUGGCGCUUUAGAUGAUGCAUUCAGGCAAUGCUGUCCUAUAUUUCAUGUUCCCUUUGCAGACGAGUACGUGUGUAUGUGGGGGUGAGGGCAUGGUUCCCAGAAUUGGAAAGCAUCUUAGUUAGCAGUUGCUUACUUGCAGAAAGCCACAGUCUUCUGUCCCGAGAUUGGGAUUGUCCCUAUGGUUAGUUCUGUAGAAAGUCAAGGUCUUCCAUCCUAAGUUAGGGAUUGCACGUGUGACUAGCUCACAUUCCAUAAAACCACCAGGGAGAGGUUUCUACCCUUGGUGGCCUUCUGUCCUGCCUGUCUAGAGUAACCCUGUUACAUGGCUCCCCUAGCUUCUGCCGCCUCUGCCUCUGAGCUUCUCCACCCCGGUAACUUCUGACCACAUCAUUUUUCUCUUCCCUUGUUUACAGACCAUUUUGUAAAAAAAGUCCAAACUCCAUGGCAAGUUUUAAGGAUCUUUAGUAUUUUCUAAGUGUCUAUCUUUCCAGUCACCUGCUAUAUGUUCAUUCCCUUAACACUUCCUCUGCCCCCUUUACUCUGAGGCUCUCCCCAGCCGUUUCAUUUCAACUAUGGCGCUAGGAUAACUACUCUUCCCUCUGAGUAAAGAUAUCCUCAUUGGUUUUUGUGACAUUCCAUUCCUUCUGCACACAUUGACUCCUUCAACCCUUGCUUACCAAGUCCAUACUCUACUCCCAGUACCAUGCCACAUAUCCCAAGCUUUUUCAGAAUGGAGCGCUAUACAUCCUUGGUUAUCUCUGCAUUGACCUUCCUUUCUGCAUGGAGGACUUGUUCUUAACCCAUAUUUCAAGCAUCCUGAGUCCUGUAGUAACCGAAAUUAAAGCAGAAACUGCAAACACCAAGAACAAAUACCGUGGUGUAACUAAUGGACCGAGGCACUAAGGACCUGCUGAUUUCUGUCUUUACCGCCACACCCAGGGCCAAGUCGUGUCACCGCGCUGUUCCAGAGUUUCUAGUAUUGUGUUCAGGCUGGCUGCCCCGAUUUUCCCCUUCCUGUUUUCCGUGGUGUAUUGUUUGUCUGGGGGGGGGGGUGAGGGUGACGUCUGAAUAGAGUAAAUGAGCCCAUAGACGCCAUCAGCUGGCAGUACUGUAUUUUCAGGACGGUUUUAUAGCAACUUCAGGUAAAAUGGAAUUUUUUACUUUGAAUACUUGUUUUACCGUUUUUAAAAUGAUAUCUAAGCACCCUGUGGGGUGUGUGCCAUUGAUGAGUGACUUGUAAGCAUUUUUAUUUUAAAUUGAUGGCCCCACUGAUAUUUGGUUGUCCCGACCAGCCCCCUUUCCCUUAGGAUUUUGCUUUUUAACUUCAAGAAGAAAAAUGCCUGUAUGUCUGGUGCAUUUCUGCGUGGGCACAGACGUGGAGGUUAGGGAGAACUCGGGUGCCAGUGCUCGGCUUUCACCCUGUGUACGCCUGGCCCUCUUACAGUUUGUUACUGGGUGCACAGACUAGCUUCUUGGGGGCCUUCCGUCUGUGCCACCUAUCUGAUCGCAGGAGUUCUGUAAUUGAAUUACAUGCAUGUGCUACCAUGUCAGGAUUUUGCAUGGGUCAUGGGCAUUCAGACUUGUGUCCUCAGGCUUGCCUGACAAGUUCUUCACCCACGGAGUCAUCUCCCUAUCUCCCUGUCACUGGAGUUUUGUCGCUUUUGUAGUAGAGAAGGAACUGUCCCAUCAGGGGCCAAAGGUGUGCUUUUGAAGCAAGACGAUGCUUCAGUCACAAAAGCUCCAGUCCGACUCCUUCUCUCACACAUAAAGCACACACUCCCAUUCCUUGCCAAGUUCUCAGAGCUACCUGAAUAGGCUCUGGCCUCUGUGGUACGACACUCCAAAAAAGAAUGUCAGAGCGUCUUUAAUCCAUUAAUUUCUGGGUAUGGGAAAGUGUUCUCCAAGCUUGCUUGGUAAGAGGACAGACUCGUUUUUGAAGAACUGCAUCUUCAGGAUUUUGUUGAACGUUUUAUUCAUAUGUUUCAAUGCAGCUCAGCUCUGGUUUAUGGCUGAAAUAAAUAGGCGCACUACA